rnacentral:rRNA from 1 species
GUGCCAGCCGCCGCGGUAAUACGGAGGGUGCAAGCGUUGUCCGGAAUCACUGGGCGUAAAGGGUGCGCAGGCGGUGCAGCAAGUCGGAGGUGAAAGCCCAUGGCUCAACCAUGGAAGUGCCUUCGAAACUGUUGCUCUUGAGUCCCGGAGAAGCUGUCGGAAUUCGUGGUGUAGCGGUGAAAGGCGUAGAUAUCACGAGGAACACCAGAGGCGAAAGCGGACGGCUGGACGGGUACUGACGCUCAGGCACGAAAGCGUGGGGAGCAAACAGGAUUAGAUACCUGGUAGUCC